UAGGGAAUCUUCCACAAUGGACGCAAGUCUGAUGGAGCAACGCCGCGUGGUGAAGAAGGGUUUCGGCUCGUAAAGCUCUGUUGUUAAAGAAGAACGUGGGUAAGAGUAACUGUUUACCCAGUGACGGUAUUUAACCAGAAAGCCACGGCUAACUACGUGUCAG
rnacentral:rRNA from 1 species